rnacentral:rRNA from 1 species
ACGGGUGAGUAACGCGUGGGAAUCUACCCAUCUCUACGGAAUAACGCAUGGAAACGUGUGCUAAUACCGUAUACGUCCUUCGGGAGAAAGAUUUAUCGGAGAUGGAUGAGCCCGCGUUGGAUUAGCUAGUUGGUGGGGUAAAGGCCUACCAAGGCGACGAUCCAUAGCUGGUCUGAGAGGAUGAUCAGCCACACUGGGACUGAGACACGGCCCAGACUCCUACGGGAGGCAGCAGUGGGGAAUAUUGGACGAUGGGCGCAAGCCUGAUCCAGCCAUGCCGCGUGAGUGAUGAAGGCCCUAGGGUUGUAAAGCUCUUUCACCGGUGAAGAUAAUGACGGUAACCGGAGAAGAAGCCCCGGCUAACUUCGUGCCAGCAGCCGCGGUAAUACGAAGGGGGCUAGCGUUGUUCGGAUUUACUGGGCGUAAAGCGCACGUAGGCGGACUAAUAAGUCAGGGGUGAAAUCCCGGGGCUCAACCCCGGAACUGCCUUUGAUACUGGUAGUCUUGAGUUCGAGAGAGGUGAGUGGAAUUCCAAGUGUAGAGGUGAAAUUCGUAGA